rnacentral:rRNA from 1 species
UACGAAGGGGGCUAGCGUUGUUCGGAUUUACUGGGCGUAAAGCGCACGUAGGCGGAUCGUUAAGUCGGGGGUGAAAUCCUGGAGCUCAACUCCAGAACUGCCUUCGAUACUGGCGAUCUUGAGUCCGGAAGAGGUGAGUGGAACUCCUAGUGCAGAGGUGGAAUUCGUAGAUAUUAGGAAGAACACCAGUGGCGAAGGCGGCUCACUGGUCCGGUACUGACGCUGAGGUGCGAAAGCGUGGGGAGCAAACAGG